rnacentral:rRNA from 1 species
UACGUAGGGGGCAAGCGUUGUCCGGAUUUAUUGGGCGUAAAGAGCGUGUAGGCGGCCAGGUAGGUCCGUUGUGAAAACUCGAGGCUCAACCUCGAGACGUCGGCGGAAACCCUCUGGCUAGAGUCCGGAAGAGGAGAGUGGAAUUCCUGGUGUAGCGGUGGAAUGCGCAGAUAUCAGGAGGAACAUCCGUGGCGAAGGCGGCUCUCUGGGACGGUACUGACGCUGAGACGCGAAAGCGUGGGGAGCGAACAGG